UGGGGGAUGGUGUAAGGGCAACACACAUGGCUCUGGACCAUGGAAUCGGGGUUCGAAUCCCUGUCCCCCAGCCA
rnacentral:tRNA from 1 species